rnacentral:rRNA from 1 species
AACGAACGCUGGCGGCAUGCCUAACACAUGCAAGUCGAACGAGAUCUUCGGGUCUAGUGGCGCACAGGUGCGUAACGCGUGGGAAUCUGCCCUUUGGUUCGGAAUAACAGUUGGAAACGACUGCUAAUACCGGAUGAUGACGAAAGUCCAAAGAUUUAUCGCCAGAGGAUGAGCCCGCGUAGGAUUAGCUAGUUGGUGUGGUAAAGGCGCACCAAGGCGACGAUCCUUAGCUGGUCUGAGAGGAUGAUCAACCACACCGGGACUGAGACACGGCCCAGACUCCUACGGGAGGCAGCAGUGGGGAAUAUUGGACAAUGGGCGAAAGCCUGAUCCAGCAAUGCCGCGUGAGUGAUGAAGGCCUUAGGGUUGUAAAGCUCUUUUACCCGGGAUGAUAAUGACAGUACCGGGAGAAUAAGCUCCGGCUAACUCCGUGCCAGCCGCCGCGGUAA